AUGUGCCAGGCAAAAGGGUGAUGAUUUAAGAUUUCAUCGUGCUACUCAGAAUGGCCCACAAUUUUUAAACUUAUGAAUUGUUUAUUUCUGGAAUUUUCCAUUUAAUAUUUUUGGACUGUGGUUGACUGUGGGUAACUGAAACUGCCAAAAGCAAAACCACAGGUAGGAGGGGACUGCUGUGUCACCUUUCCGCGGGGCCCUGCUGAGGUGAUCAAGGGGCAGGUCUGCAGAGGGAGAGGAGAGGACGCCUGCCAGCCAGGGGCAUCCCAGUCGUGAUGGCCACGCAGUGCCGUUAGACACCGGGCCGCCAACAUCAGGCAGCUGCAGGGCAAAGGUCAAGAGGGAGAAAAGCCCAUGCUUCUGCGGAAUAAAGGAUGAAGAGGCAGAUACAAGGACAAGAGUGAGGAGCCUCUUUCAGUGACAGAGUUCAAUGAGGGGAAGGCACCUGGGGCGACAAUCAACGGCGAUCGCAUUAGCCGUGACGAAGUCUUUAGAAACGCUUCGCUCGGCCAUCAGACAGACGGCAACAGGUGUAAAUCCUUUUAUUUUUUAAAAGUAAUUUUCAAGCAGACUUCCUUCACAUUGAGGAAGUCAGAGCAGUGGUACCGACUGCUAGACUGAAAGCUCUAUGAAAGUAGGAAUGAUAUUUUUCUGUCUGUUCUUAAUUCGUUUCUGGAUCCUCAGCAUCUGGCCUACGGCUUGACAUUUGGGAAGCUGAGAACUUCCAGGCCAAGAAGAGCAACCUGAGAACUCUAUUUCCAAAGGCCCUCAAACUCCUUCAGACAAAUCCACGGGGAAUCUGAGACCAGUGCUGCCGUUUGUCUGUGAUAACGGAGGGUAAAUCACUGGGGUGAGGGGACUA